rnacentral:rRNA from 1 species
CCUACGGGAGGCAGCAGUAGGGAAUCUUCCACAAUGGGCGAAAGCCUGAUGGAGCAAUGCCGCGUGGGUGAAGAAGGUCUUCGGAUCGUAAAACCCUGUUGUCAGAGAAGAAAGUGCGUGAGAGUAACUGUUCACGUUUCGACGGUAUCUAACCAGAAAGCCACGGCUAACUACGUGCCAGCAGCCGCGGUAAUACGUAGGGGGCAAGCGUUAUCCGGAUUUAUUGGGCGUAAAGCGGACGCAGGCGGUCUUUUAAGUCUGAUGUGAAAGCCUUGGGCUUAACCGGAGUAGUGCAUUGGAUACUGGCAGACUUGAGUGCAGAAGAGGAGAGUGGAAUUCCAGGUGUAGCGGUGAAAUGCGUAGAGAUAUGGAAGAACACCAGUGGCGAAGGCGGCUCUCUGGUCUGAAACUGACGCUGAGGUGCGAAAGCGUGGGUAGCAAACAGGAUUAGAAACCCCAGUAGUC